AUUUAUGGCUAUAUGACGUUGAAAACAUCAGUUCUCGUCCGAUCGCUGAAGUUAAGCAACGUCGAGCCUGGUUAGUACUUAGAUCGGUGACCGCUUGGGAAACCUAAGUGCUAUAAACG
rnacentral:rRNA from 1 species